rnacentral:snoRNA from 1 species
CAGCAUGUUCCCAGGGUCUCUGGCUGCUUGUGGUCAAGAGACCUCCAAAUGCAUGCAAGAGCAACCUGGAGAGUCAGUGACAACCCAGGUCAGCAGGUUCAAAUGAAAUUGAAAUUUAAGUCCAGUUCAA